rnacentral:rRNA from 1 species
UAGAGUUUGAUCCUGGCUCAGGACGAACGCUGGCGGCGUGCCUAAUACAUGCAAGUCGAGCGGACAGAUGGGAGCUUGCUCCCUGAUGUUAGCGGCGGACGGGUGAGUAACACGUGGGUAACCUGCCUGUAAGACUGGGAUAACUCCGGGAAACCGGGGCUAAUACCGGAUGGUUGUUUGAACCGCAUGGUUCAAACAUAAAAGGUGGCUUCGGCUACCACUUACAGAUGGACCCGCGGCGCAUUAGCUAGUUGGUGAGGUAAUGGCUCACCAAGGCAACGAUGCGUAGCCGACCUGAGAGGGUGAUCGGCCACACUGGGACUGAGACACGGCCCAGACUCCUACGGGAGGCAGCAGUAGGGAAUCUUCCGCAAUGGACGAAAGUCUGACGGAGCAACGCCGCGUGAGUGAUGAAGGUUUUCGGAUCGUAAAGCUCUGUUGUUAGGGAAGAACAAGUGCCGUUCGAAUAGGGCGGCACCUUGACGGUACCUAACCAGAAAGCCACGGCUAACUACGUGCCAGCAGCCGCGGUAAUACGUAGGUGGCAAGCGUUGUCCGGAAUUAUUGGGCGUAAAGGGCUCGCAGGCGGUUUCUUAAGUCUGAUGUGAAAGCCCCCGGCUCAACCGGGGAGGGUCAUUGGAAACUGGGGAACUUGAGUGCAGAAGAGGAGAGUGGAAUUCCACGUGUAGCGGUGAAAUGCGUAGAGAUGUGGAGGAACACCAGUGGCGAAGGCGACUCUCUGGUCUGUAACUGACGCUGAGGAGCGAAAGCGUGGGGAGCGAACAGGAUUAGAUACCCUGGUAGUCCACGCCGUAAACGAUGAGUGCUAAGUGUUAGGGGGUUUCCGCCCCUUAGUGCUGCAGCUAACGCAUUAAGCACUCCGCCUGGGGAGUACGGUCG